rnacentral:rRNA from 1 species
CCUACGGGAGGCAGCAGUGAGGAAUCUUCGGCAAUGGACGAAAGUCUGACCGAGCAACGCCGCGUGAGUGAAGAAGGUUUUCGGAUCGUAAAACUCUGUUGUUAGAGAAGAAUGUUGAUUAGAGUGGAAAAUUAAUCAAGUGACGGUAUCUAACCAGAAAGGGACGGCUAACUACGUGCCAGCAGCCGCGGUAAU